rnacentral:rRNA from 1 species
AACGAACGCUGGCGGCAGGCUUAACACAUGCAAGUCGAACGCCCCGCAAGGGGAGUGGCGCACGGGUGAGUAACGCGUGGGAAUCAACCUUCUGGUACGGGACAACCUCGGGAAACUGAGGCUAAUACCGUAUAUCUCCUCAGGGAGAAAGAUUUAUCGCCAGAAGACGAGCCCGCGUCCGAUUAGCUAGUUGGUAGGGUAAUGGCCUACCAAGGCGACGAUCGGUAGCUGGUCUGAGAGGACGAUCAGCCACACUGGGACUGAGACACGGCCCAGACUCCUACGGGAGGCAGCAGUGGGGAAUAUUGGGCAAUGGGCGCAAGCCUGACCCAGCCAUGCCGCGUGAGUGACGAAGGCCUUAGGGUUGUAAAGCUCUUUCGGCGGGGACGAUGAUGACGGUACCCGCAGAAGAAGCCCCGG